AGGAAGUACUUAUCUAGAUCGUGGCGAUGUGCCAAAGCAGCCUUGGAAGCCGACGAGGUGCAAAAAUUGUGGUGUGGUGGGGCACCAAAGGAAUAAUUUUACGAAAGCAAUGGACCUGAGGUUAGCUGGUGGCGUGUAGUGGUGAGUGAAAAAUGCCAAACGAUUUCAGUAAGUUUGAAUGGUCAAAGUGUGACUUUGUUUUCUGCAUUCGUGAUGUGUUUGUGCAACUGAGCACCUGCCCUGCGUGCAGGCAUGCUUUAUGUCUCGAGUUGUAAUACAAAUGUAUUCAGUGAUGCAUUAGUGGGUGCUGUGAAGUAUCUAGGGUUGAAAAAAAUAUCCUUUUUUCAGUUGGGUUUAUGGAAGGUGAACUGCUUAAUUAGAUGAAACCAUGCAAGUGGACUGAAUUUCUAUAAUCAGUUGUUGUUUUGUAUGCUUGACGGAAGUCUACAGCCGGGCAGAUGGAUAUAGUCGUCAGUGCGGGCGACGACGGCUCUAUGGUGACCUUGCAUGCAGGUGUGUUGUCAAUAAUUUGUUGAUGUUUCAGUAGUAAGUGUGUUGUUCUCGCGUUGAACCCCUUGCAAAAAAAUUCGUGACACAAGGGUUGCCUGUUUGGAAAACGCUGUUAAGUAGGUAUCAGCAGAUGAUGCAGAGGGGACAUUGUCGAGCAAGCGUCAAAUGUGGCAAUGCAGGUAUGACUUUUUUUUAUCAAAGAAGGGCUUGCCCCCUCCGAUUUUCAUUACUGAAAACCACCACGAUUCACAAAAAGUUCCGAACAUCACAAACCUAAGAUGAAACUAAAGCUACCAGGUUCAAAUCGAAACAAAAGGCCAUCGCAGGCCAACACCCACACUGGAAUCCAGCAUCCAAAGCAGAAAACGAGGAGCUAAAAGAAGCCCAGCAGCAACUAGACCUAACAGCAGCGCCGGAGUCACAGCAGCAAGAGUUCCUUCAUUCCAGUCUAGCGACGUUGAUCCUCCACCCCUGCCUGGCUGUGAACACCUCACUUGCUGCCCGUUUUAGCACUCUUGCUCCCAGCUCCAAUGUUUUUUUUGACGGCUCCUUUAUCUGCAAAAUAGACCAAUCAAUCAACCAUCUGCACAUUAAUUUGAUAAUGCAGAAAGGAUCAUUUAUCCUUUUUUUCUCAAAUAUAAUCGCAUUUCUGCUUUUCCAAAUUGCCCAAAACAGGGCUGAAACCCCCACCAUAACCAUUUUCUUAUCCUCUUUUUUGAAUUUUUUUCAUCCAUUCUCCAAUGCAGGUAUGACCUGAGCUCGAGUAUAGAUUUUCUUUGUUGUUGAGUGCAGAUUGCAUAAGGAAGCAUUUCCGUUGUCGCCUGAUGUUUUGUUUUGUUGUGCGCAG
rnacentral:lncRNA from 1 species